AAGGUUAUAGCUCAGGGGUAGAGCAUGUGCUUAGCAUGCAAAAUGUCCUGGGUUCAAUCCCAGGUACUUCC
rnacentral:tRNA from 1 species